rnacentral:rRNA from 1 species
GACGAACGCUGGCGGCGUGCUUAACACAUGCAAGUCGAACGAUGAAGCCUAGCUUGCUAGGUGGAUUAGUGGCGAACGGGUGAGUAAUACGUGAGUGACCUACCUUUGACUCUGGGAUAAGCCUGGGAAACUGGGUCUAAUACCGGAUACGACCAAUCUCCGCAUGGGGUGUUGGUGGAAAGCGUUAUGGAGUGGUUUUAGAUGGGCUCACGGCCUAUCAGCUUGUUGGUGAGGUAAUGGCUUACCAAGGCGACGACGGGUAGCCGGCCUGAGAGGGUGACCGGCCACACUGGGACUGAGACACGGCCCAAACUCCUACGGGAGGCAGCAGUGGGGAAUAUUGCACAAUGGGCGCAAGCCUGAUGCAGCGACGCCGCGUGAGGGAUGACGGCCUUCGGGUUGUAAACCUCUGUUAGCAUCGAAGAAGCAAAAGCGACGGUAGGUGCAGAGAAAGCGCCGGCUAACUACGUGCCCACCGCCGCGGUAAUACGUAGGGCGCGAGCGUUGUCCGGAAUUAUUGGGCGUAAAGAGCUUGUAGGCGGUUGGUCGCGUCUGCUGUGAAAGGCUGGGGCUUUCCCUGGUUUUGCAGUGGGUACGGGCUAACUAGAGUGCAGUAGGGGAGACUGGAAUUCCUGGUGUAGCGGUGGAAUGCGCAGAUAUCAGGAGGAACACCGAUGGCGAAGGCAGGUCUCUGGGCUGUAACUGACGCUGAGAAGCGAAAGCAUGGGGAGCGAACAGGAUUAGAUACCCUGGUAGUCCAUGCCGUAAACGUUGGGCACUAGGUGUGGGGGACAUUCCACGUUUUCCGCGCCGUAGCUAACGCAUUAAGUGCCCCGCCUGGGGAGUACGGCCGCAAGGCUAAAACUCAAAGAAAUUGACGGGGGCCCGCACAAGCGGCGGAGCAUGCGGAUUAAUUCGAUGCAACGCGAAGAACCUUACCAAGGCUUGACAUAUACUGGACUGCGUCAGAGAUGGCGUUUCCCUUCGGGGCUGGUAUACAGGUGGUGCAUGGUUGUCGUCAGCUCGUGUCGUGAGAUGUUGGGUUAAGUCCCGCAACGAGCGCAACCCUCGUUCUAUGUUGCCAGCACGUGAUGGUGGGGACUCAUAGGAGACUGCCGGGGUCAACUCGGAGGAAGGUGGGGAUGACGUCAAAUCAUCAUGCCCCUUAUGUCUUGGGCUUCACGCAUGCUACAAUGGCCGGUACAGAGGGUUGCGAUACUGUGAGGUGGAGCUAAUCCCUAAAAGCCGGUCUCAGUUCGGAUUGGGGUCUGUAACUCGACCCCAUGAAGUCGGAGUCGCUAGUAAUCGCAGAUCAGCAACGCUGCGGUGAAUACGUUCCCGGGCCU